UCUUUUGUAAUUCCUUUUGGUUCUCUUGUUUCCAUAAGUAACUGUAACAACAUCUAUUAGGUUUGUCCCUGUGAAAGUCUUCACUCUCUGGAGAUUGCUGACUAUGUUAAGCUUCUCAUAAGUGCUGGCCCAGGGAGGAAGCCAAUGGAAGAAGAAUAUUCAGGAGGCUUGAUUGAGUACGAUAUGGUUUUUCUUGGGAUAAUGUUCUCCAUCUACCACAACCAUCAUUGUGUAAGAAAUGCUUCAGUCAUCUAGGAUUAGCUGUUUCUUCUUUGUUUUGUAUUAAAUUCCCAUUGGGCUGUUUGUG